GUACCCUGGUUCCCCUUCAAAUAACGUAUAAAUCUUUCGCCUUUUACUAAAGAUUUCCGUGGAGGGGAAUUGUGACGGGUCUUUGAACCUAAUUUUUUUCUAGUACCCGACGAAAGUUGGGUC